CCGGCUGAGGAAGCUGGUGCCCACCAUCCCGCCCAACAAGAGGGUCAGCAAAGUGGAGAUCCUGCAGCACGUCAUCGACUAUAUCCUCGACCUGCAGCUGGCUCUGGAGACGCACCCAGCGCUGCUCCGGCAGCAGCCGCCGCCGCCCGCUCUGCACCCAGGCAGCUGUCCCGUGGGCACUCCCAGGACCCCGCUGACAGCCCUUAACACUGACCCGGUAAGAGGUGCGUGACACAUGAGCGCGGGGAGCGGGAUGCGGAGCGGUGUGGCGCGAUGGUCAGCGCCGGCCGCCGUGGGAGCGCCCCGGUGAUGCGCCGCCACUCUCGACCCCGUGGUUCUGCCGAGAAGCCUUAGUUACCGAAGGGGACGGGGCGGACGGCCGCAGGAACGCCCCGGCGGUGCGCGGUGGGUGCCCGCAUCCCCUCGGUGCGGGCAGGCAGCCGCACGGUGUCUACCGUGUAAUUACAGCCUCUCGAGGGAGUAGCUGUAGCGGCGUGUUUGCACACACGGGGACAGGCGCGCUGUUCCUGCGCUUUCCAGCCUCCGCGCCGUGUAGCGAGUGUGAGGGGCUGUGGGGGCUGUGCACAUGGAACGCAGCGUGCUUUGGGGGGGCGGGAAUCGGGGAGCGGCUCCCUUGUGCGGGACCCCCCGCAGCCCGGCGGCACGGGAAGCGGCUUGCCCCGGCACCCCGCGCCCCCGGGUCUUCCCGCAGCGCUGCGGCCACCGCCUUCGUUCCGUCCCCCUGGGGGGCUUCCCUGAGCGCUCCCGACGGAGCUAUGGUAGUGCCUGGGUACGCGGAGGAGGGGGGGGGGGGUCUCAGUGUGGUUUCUCCCCAGUUGUUAAUUUGCCGUGUUUGGUUGCUGCGCAGGCAGGCUCUGUUAACAAGCCGGGGGACAGCAUCCUCUGCCGCUGACCGCCGCUCCCCAGGGAGAAGAGCUGGCAGCCCGGACUUUGGCACAUAG
rnacentral:lncRNA from 1 species